rnacentral:rRNA from 1 species
AACGAACGCUGGCGGCAUGCCUAAUACAUGCAAGUCGAACGAAGGCUUCGGCCUUAGUGGCGCACGGGUGCGUAACGCGUGGGAAUCUGCCCUUGGGUUCGGAAUAACAUCGGGAAACUGAUGCUAAUACCGGAUGAUGACGUAAGUCCAAAGAUUUAUCGCCCAGGGAUGAGCCCGCGUAGGAUUAGCUAGUUGGUGAGGUAAAGGCUCACCAAGGCGACGAUCCUUAGCUGGUCUGAGAGGAUGAUCAGCCACACUGGGACUGAGACACGGCCCAGACUCCUACGGGAGGCAGCAGUAGGGAAUAUUGGACAAUGGGCGAAAGCCUGAUCCAGCAAUGCCGCGUGAGUGAUGAAGGCCUUAGGGUUGUAAAGCUCUUUUACCCGGGAUGAUAAUGACAGUACCGGGAGAAUAAGCCCCGGCUAACUCCGUGCCAGCCGCCGCCGUAAUAC